UCUCUGUUGGUGAACCAGCGGAGGGAUCAUUACCGAGUUUACAACUCCCAAACCCCUGUGAACAUACCAUUUGUUGCCUCGGCGGUGCCUGCUUCGGCAGCCCGCCAGAGGACCCAAACCCUUGAUUUUAUACAGUAUCUUCUGAGUAAAUGAUUAAAUAAAUCAAAACUUUCAACAACGGAUCUCUUGGUUCUG
rnacentral:misc_RNA from 1 species